CACACUAGCUAAUUCUUCUGGAAUUAGAAGGCCAUCUUCUUCUGUCACCUGGCCUCUGCUGCAUCCAUCACUGGGUCCUAGGCACGUCUUCCAAGGAGUGCUGCAUCGUUUCAUUUUCCAGUAAAUCUUCAUUGAACCUAUUCUAUGAGCUGUACGGCAAAAGACAAAUCAGUCUUCUCAUGGAAGAUACCAGAAGGCUGUCCCCCACCGUUGCGUCUCUUGCCCUAUGGAGCAGCAGUGCCGUCUCCUGCCAUCGAGCUGUGACUGGUUUUUGUACAGCCAUGUGUCACUGUGGUGGGUGUUCGGAGGAGGAACCCAGCUGACCGUCCUCGGACAGCCAAAGGCCUCUCCUACCGUCCACCUCUUCCCUCCCUCCUCGGAAGAGGUCAGCAGCAAGAGCAAGGCCACGCUGGUGUGUCUGAUGGACAGCUUUUACCCCAGCCCGGUCCAGGUCACCUGGAAAGCUGAUGGCACCACCAUCACCAGUGGAGUGGAGACCACCAAGCCAGCCAAACAGAGCGACAACAAGUACAUGGCCGGCAGCUACCUGGCGCUGAGCGCCUCCGACUGGAAGAGCCACGAGACCUACACCUGUCAGGUGACGCACGACGGGAAGAGCAUCGAGAAGACCCUGAAGAGAUCGGAGUGCUCUUAGCCCGCAGCCCCGGAGGGCUCGGCCAGAUCCUGUCCCAGUCAGUAGAGAGCUGGGAUCCCCGAGGAGCCGGGAUCCUUCUGUAGCAUCUCCCUAAUGUUGAUUUCCAGCAACUGUAUUUCUUAUUUCAUGUGGAGAUCUUAGCCAAUCCCUGUCAUUGUUCCCAUGUAUCCAUCCCCUAUCCUCACCUCUCUGCAUUCCCCUGCACAUGCCAUUCCUGUUUUAGUCUCUCAUGCAGCCUUGAUAUAUUAAUAAAUCAGAAACAUUCAACUCUCA